rnacentral:rRNA from 1 species
AUUGAACGCUGGCGGCAUGCUCUACACAUGCAAGUCGAACGGUAACAGGCCGCAAGGUGCUGACGAGUGGCGAACGGGUGAGUAAUGCAUCGGAACGUGCCCAGUCGUGGGGGAUAACUACUCGAAAGAGUAGCUAAUACCGCAUACGAUCUAUGGAUGAAAGCGGGGGACCGUAAGGCCUCGCGCGAUUGGAGCGGCCGAUGUCAGAUUAGGUAGUUGGUGGGGUAAAGGCUCACCAAGCCAACGAUCUGUAGCUGGUCUGAGAGGACGACCAGCCACACUGGGACUGAGACACGGCCCAGACUCCUACGGGAGGCAGCAGUGGGGAAUUUUGGACAAUGGGCGCAAGCCUGAUCCAGCAAUGCCGCGUGCAGGAAGAAGGCCUUCGGGUUGUAAACUGCUUUUGUACGGAACGAAACGGCUCUGGUUAAUACCCGGGGCUAAUGACGGUACCGUAAGAAUAAGCACCGGCUAACUACGUGC